GUUGCCGUUGUCGCCAUUAUCAUCAUCAUCAUAAUCAUCAUCAUCAUCGUCGUCUUUGUCAUUUAUAAAAGGAGGAAGAUAUCUGGAGGUAAGGCACAUGAGGUUUUAAUAUUGCACAAAUAGAAGUGAAUCACUGUCAUUCACUGAGUGAUUAAUGAUUCAGUGAGUAUUUCCAGAUUACAUUUGCUAUUCCUGUGGCCACGCCACCCUGUACCCCUCUCAUGGCUAACUGCCGAAGCUAAGCAGCCACACCACCCUGUAUCCCUCUCGUGGCUAACUGCUAGUCUGCCAUAACAUGCCGUACAGUUACAGCAAUUUAAAUAUGAAAUGAUGGUGUUGUGUAAAUGUAAAUUAAAUUAAAUGAAUGAAUGAAUUAAUAAAGUAAACAGCUAUACAGAGUGUAAUUUGUUGUAAAAUGGCACAUCAGUGUACACUGGUGUUCACUGCUGCUGUAGCUUGUGGGAUAAAAAUGCUCUCCUACACUCUUAAGCCUGAGCAGUCUGUACCAGAGCUGGGUCAAAUACAAACACGUAUUUGUAUUUGUAUUUGAAAAUGUAUGUAAAUACAUAUUUGAAGUAUUUUAAAAUACAUUUACACAUGAAGUGAUGUUGUUAAUUCUAAAAAUGGCUGCCCCUUACUGAGAACAUUUCUUUCAUUGAACCCUGAUACAUUCUGCUGUUGAACCCAGUGAAGUAUUAACUAGAUUUGAAUUUCACAGGGUCCCAGAUACAGGAAAAGUGCAACACUGAAUAUGCUCCUGUUGAGGGCCCGGGUGUGGUGCUCAGUAAUACAAGCACGGAAGUAACCGUGUAUGAAACAGUCACCACUGCAAAGCCAGAGCACCACCCAAAAGUGAGCACAGUCUAUGUCACGUUGGGACCAGCAGGAGACCCUCCAACA